rnacentral:rRNA from 1 species
UACGUAGGGCGCGAGCGUUGUCCGGAAUCAUUGGGCGUAAAGAGCUCGUAGGCGGCCGGUUGCGUCUGCUGUGAAAUCCCGGGGCUUAACCCCGGGCGUGCAGUGGAUACGGGCUGGCUGGAGGCAGGCAGGGGAGAAUGGAAUUCCCGGUGUAGCGGUGAAAUGCGCAGAUAUCGGGAGGAACACCGGUGGCGAAGGCGGUUCUCUGGGCCUGUGCUGACGCUGAGGUGCGAAAGCGUGGGGAGCAAACAGG